CCCUUAGAUGUUCUGGGCUGCACCCGUGCUACACUGGCAGGUUCAGCGAGCUUCAUGCCCUGAUCUGAAAGGAAUGGGAAAUCUUUUCAAAACCUGCCGUGCUUGGGAUAGAUGUUUGCAAUUAUUCAUCUUCAACGAGGAUUGCCCUGUAAGCGCACGUCAUCAGCGUGCAUUGAAUACGACCCUGUAUUCUGUACACACCGCCCGUCGCUCCUACCGAUUGAAGUUUUCGGUGAGUUGACAGGAGGAUUUUUUUGAAACUGGUUCGCCAGUGGAUUUUAGAUCCAAAUGCCAACGAAUCGAUGGCUUUAGAGGAAGGAGAAGUCGUAACA
rnacentral:rRNA from 1 species